rnacentral:rRNA from 1 species
ACGGGAGGCAGCAGUGGGGAAUAUUGCACAAUGGGGGAACCCUGAUGCAGCGACGCCGCGUGAGUGAAGAAGUAUUUCGGUAUGUAAAGCUCUAUCAGCAGGAAAGAAAAUGACGGUACCUGACUAAGAAGCCCCGGCUAACUACGUGCCAGCAGCCGCGGUAAUACGUAGGGGGCAAGCGUUAUCCGGACUUACUGGGUGUAAAGGGAGCGUAGACGGUAAAGCAAGUCUGAAGUGAAAGGCUGGGGCUCAACCCCAGGACUGCUUUGGAAACUGUUAAACUAGAGUGCAGGAGAGGUAAGUGGAAUUCCUAGUGUAGCGGUGAAAUGUGUAGAUAUUAGGAGGAACACCAGUGGCGAAGGCGGCUUACUGGACUGUAACUGACGUUGAGGCUCGAAAGCGUGGGGAGCAAACAGGAUUAGAUACCCUGGUA